rnacentral:rRNA from 1 species
GAUGAACGCUGGCUGCGUGCCUAAUACAUGCAAGUCGAGCGAACGGACGAGAAGCUUGCUUCUCUGAUGUUAGCGGCGGACGGGUGAGUAACACGUGGAUAACCUACCUAUAAGACUGGGAUAACUUCGGGAAACCGGAGCUAAUACCGGAUAAUAUUUUGAACCGCAUGGUUCAAAAGUGAAAGACGGUCUUGCUGUCACUUAUAGAUGGAUCCGCGCUGCAUUAGCUAGUUGGUAAGGUAACGGCUUACCAAGGCAACGAUGCAUAGCCGACCUGAGAGGGUGAUCGGCCACACUGGAACUGAGACACGGUCCAGACUCCUACGGGAGGCAGCAGUAGGGAAUCUUCCGCAAUGGGCGAAAGCCUGACGGAGCAACGCCGCGUGAGUGAUGAAGGUCUUCGGAUCGUAAAACUCUGUUAUUAGGGAAGAACAUAUGUGUAAGUAACUGUGCACAUCUUGACGGUACCUAAUCAGAAAGCCACGGCUAACUACGUGCCAGCAGCCGCGGUAAUACGUAGGUGGCAAGCGUUAUCCGGAAUUAUUGGGCGUAAAGCGCGCGUAGGCGGUUUUUUAAGUCUGAUGUGAAAGCCCACGGCUCAACCGUGGAGGGUCAUUGGAAACUGGAAAACUUGAGUGCAGAAGAGGAAAGUGGAAUUCCAUGUGUAGCGGUGAAAUGCGCAGAGAUAUGGAGGAACACCAGUGGCGAAGGCGACUUUCUGGUCUGUAACUGACGCUGAUGUGCGAAAGCGUGGGGAUCAAACAGGAUUAGAUACCCUGGUAGUCCACGCCGUAAACGAUGAGUGCUAAGUGUUAGGGGGUUUCCGCCCCUUAGUGCUGCAGCUAACGCAUUAAGCACUCCGCCUGGGGAGUACGACCGCAAGGUUGAAACUCAAAGGAAUUGACGGGGACCCGCACAAGCGGUGGAGCAUGUGGUUUAAUUCGAAGCAACGCGAAGAACCUUACCAAAUCUUGACAUCCUUUGACAACUCUAGAGAUAGAGCCUUCCCCUUCGGGGGACAAAGUGACAGGUGGUGCAUGGUUGUCGUCAGCUCGUGUCGUGAGAUGUUGGGUUAAGUCCCGCAACGAGCGCAACCCUUAAGCUUAGUUGCCAUCAUUAAGUUGGGCACUCUAAGUUGACUGCCGGUGACAAACCGGAGGAAGGUGGGGAUGACGUCAAAUCAUCAUGCCCCUUAUGAUUUGGGCUACACACGUGCUACAAUGGACAAUACAAAGGGCAGCGAAACCGCGAGGUCAAGCAAAUCCCAUAAAGUUGUUCUCAGUUCGGAUUGUAGUCUGCAACUCGACUACAUGAAGCUGGAAUCGCUAGUAAUCGUAGAUCAGCAUGCUACGGUGAAUACGUUCCCGGGUCU